rnacentral:rRNA from 1 species
UCUUGGUCAUUUAGAGGAAGUAAAAGUCGUAACAAGGUUUCCGUAGGUGAACCUGCGGAAAGGGAUUCAUUAUCGAAAUAGAACCUCUAGGGAGGGGGAGGGGGAGAGUCCUCGCGUCGCUCCUUCGAACCUUUCCGAGGCUUCAUACCUCCCACACCCGUGUGCACCCGCUGUAGGUCCUUAGGGACCUAUGUCUUCUCAUAACUCGCAUGUCUACAGAAUGUCGUCCGUGGCCUCGGCCAUCGUAAACCUAGUACAACUUUCAGCAAUGGAUCUCUUGGCUCUCGCAUCGAUGAAGGACGCAGCGAAUCGCGAUAAGUAAUGUGAAUUGCAGAUUUUCCGUGAAUCAUCGAAUCUUUGAACGCACCUUGCGCUCCUCGGUAUUCCGAGGAGCAUGCCUGUUUGAGUGUCAUCGAAAUAUCAAAUCGAAGCUUUCGACCCCCGUCGGAGCUAGGUUUGGACCAUGGGAGUCUGCGGGCGGGUCCCCUCCUGUCGGGAGGGGGACCUUCGGCUCUCCUCAAAAGCAUUAGCGGCGUGUGCGAGCCUCGCACGGCACGGCCUCUUCGACGUCAUAAUGACCGUCGUGGGCUGGAAGUGCGUGGAUCGCGUCGCUUUCCAACUCUGCGAGCCCGUCUCGGACGGGCCGCGCGUCAUCGAACUGUUUGACCCCUCAAAUCAGGUAGGACUACCCGCUGAACUUAAGCAUAUCAAUAAGGCGGAGGAAA